CCUACGGGUGGCUGCAGUGGGGGAUAUUGCACAAUGGGGGGAACCCUGAUGCAGCGACGCCGCGUGGGUGAAGGUGUGCUUCGGCAUGUAAACCUCUAUCGGCAGGGAAGAAGCAAGACGUUACCUGACUAAGAAGCCCCGGCUAACUACGUGCCAGCAGCCGCGGUAAUACGUAGGGGGCGAGCGUUAUCCGGAUUCACUGGGUGUAACGGGAGCGUAGACGGCCAUGCAAGCCAGGGGUGAAAGCCCGGGGACCAACCCCGGGACUGCCCUUGGACCGGUGCGGCUAGAGUGCGGGAGGGGCAGGGGGAAUGCCUGGUGUAGCGGUGAAAUGCGUAGAUAGCAGGAGGAACACCGGCGGCGAAGGCGGCCUGCUGGACCUCGACUGACGUUGAGGCUCGAAAGCGUGGGGAGCGAACAGGAUUAGAUACCCCUGUAGUC
rnacentral:rRNA from 1 species